rnacentral:lncRNA from 1 species
CGAAAGCAACUCUAGGCGUAUUGUGCAGUUCAUGAAUGAAGUUCAGAUUCUAGCCCGCUUAAGGCACAAGAACCUUGUGACACUCUUUGGUUGCACGUCUAAACAUAGCAGAGAACUUCUCCUUGUCUAUGAAUUCAUACCUAAUGGAACAGUGGCAUAUCAUCUUCAAGGAAGAGGCUCAAAAUCAACUUUACUCCCUUGGCCUAUAAGAUUGAACAUUGCUGUUGAAACGGCUGAGGCUCUAGCCUACCUACAUGCAAAUGAUGUCAUACACCGUGAUGUUAAAACCAACAACAUUCUCUUGGAUGAUCAAUUUUGCGUCAAGGUUGCUGAUUUUGGUCUCUCGAGGGAUUUCCCAACUGAUGUCACUCAUGUGUCAACAGCUCCACAGGGAACACCUGGUUAUGUUGACCCUGAAUAUUACCAGUGCUACCAGCUCACUGAUAAAAGUGAUGUUUACAGCUUUGGAGUGGUUUUGGUUGAGCUUAUAUCAUCACUGCAAGCUGUGGACAUCAACAGGAAUCGCAGUGAUGUGAACUUGUCAAACAUGGCUAUAAAAAAAAUUCAAAACCAGGAACUGCAUGAAUUGGUUGAUCCUUAUCUUGGGUUUGAGAAGGAUCCUGCUAUGAGGAGGAUGACAACAGCAGUGGCAGAAUUGGCCUUUAGGUGUUUGCAACAGGAAAGAGAUUUGAGACCAUGCAUGGAUGAGGUGGUGGAGAUCUUAAGAGGAAUCAAGAGUGAUGGGCUUGGUGGACGGGAAGAGACAGAAAUAUUGGAUAUAAGGACUGAUGAAGCUAUACUUUUGAAGAAGGCUCAUUCUCCUGUUUCACCAAAUUCAGUUGUUGACAAUUGGGUUAGCGGCUCCUCUGUAUCUAAUUCCUCAUAGUUUCUAAGCUUUAAUUUUUGCUAUUGGUGAAGAUCUAGUUAGAUAGUGAAACUUGUGUCAGUGAGCUAGUUUAGAAAGCUUCUGUUUUGAACUUGGUAUGUUAUUAUGAUGAUGAGAAGGUGAAUUCACUGCUGAUUCAGAAAAUGUAAUAUGCAUAGGGGUCAGAUAAAUACAUAUAUAUUCAUAUUUAUUUGGAGGUGUAAAUAUUCUAGUGUGUUUGUAGCUAAGAUGUAUUUUUUGAAAAGAAUUGUGUUACUCGUACAAGAUUUGUACAUUGUAAAUAUUCUCGUGUGUUUGUAGCUAAGAUGUGUGAAGUUGUAUUGAAAUGCAUGUUCUGAUAAAUUAAAAAUAGUCUUCUAGCAGUAUACCAAGUCUUAGUUUCUGACAAAUAAAUGUUUACUAGAAUCCAUUGAAUUACCUUGAGACAGGGUGAGAGGAAGAAGCAUUUUUUUUAGUAUUAUCUGUUGGAUUUGGAUUACUGGUGUUAUUGUAUCAUGCUGUCUCAUGUUACCUUGCAUAGGCAGAGACAGAAUAAUUAGUUCUAUGUAUAGGCUCUACUCCACACAAAUGAUACAUAGCAUAUAGCAUGUGUUACCUACAGUAAUUAGUUUGUGUCCUUUACCAUUCGGUAGAGAAAACAUGAGGGCCUUUCUGUUCCCUCCCACAACUGCGGAGAAAAAUCAGAAAAAAAAAAGAUAUUAUAAACAAAUAAUAGUAAUUAUUGUAAUUAUUUGAGAAAUAUUUUUUAUAUUAUAUAGACUACAGGUAAUGUGAAUUAACCUGAGUGAAUAUAAAUCUUAUUUUAGAAAUUAAUGUUAUGAUAUUAAAUUAUAUUUAACAUAUAUGUUUUAACAUGAAAUUAGAGUUAUGAUUUUAGAGUCUGUUUUGGAAAAUGACUCUUUACUUGGUAAUAGUUAAGACCUAUAUUAUUAACUCAAACAUCACGAUGUUAAUUCCUUUUAAAUAAAAUCCGGAGAACUUUACACUGAAUUAUUUCUCAAUUAAUUUUAAAAUUCAUUAAAGCUCUUUCAACCUGAUAAAAUAUAAAUAAAUAGAUAGAGGAUCUCAACAAAACUUACCCCACGUGCUUAAAAUUAAGGGCACUUUUCUUUCUUCGUAUUAUAAAGAUUCAUUAGGUACAAAAAUGGAUUCAAGAAAGGCAGUUCAAGUUAUGUAAAAUUUUGAGCAGUGAUACCUUGACACAGCAAAUCCAAAAAUUAUGUUCAUUUGACACGGUCAAAUAAUAACAUUUUAAUUAUAAUUAUAUUAUUUUUUAAUUUAAAAUCAUAUAUAUUAUUAUAUUAUUAAGAGUAGUAUCAAAUAAAUGUGUUUUUAUUAGAUUCGUCUCAAACUAACCUUUUCCUAAAAUUUUAUACUUAAAAUAUGCUUAAGUCAACUUAAACUUUUCCACAAGCAGAGUUACUUGGCUUAGAAAAACCAAUUCCUUUUGAGUCACAUUCUCUCCAAACAUUUCCUUGACUUUUUCUUUCCACUCUGCCAAUGGCUUCCCACAGUGUUAAUCUCCCUCUUAUCACUAUACUUCAUCACUCAAUUAUCUUCCUCCUACUCUUUAAGAUACCUUCAUGCUUAAGCUCCAACCAUACUUACAGCAAUUGCGCUAAUCUGAUGAGUUGUGGCAAUAUAAGAAACAUCAGUUUUCCAUUCUGGGGAGGGAACCGCCCAAAAGAGUGUGGCCACCCUCUGAUGGAACUCAUCUGCGAAAACGAGAUCAGCUACAUAACCAUUAACGAUGUCAAGUACCAGGUUUGGAAUGCCAACCCAGAUAGCCAUACUUUGAAAAUCACCAGACAAGAUUACUCGAUAGACUUAUGCCAGCCAGAACAAGUCAGCACCAGCCUUGACACUCAGCUCUACGUUUACGAGUCACACUAUAAGAAUCUUACCCUUUCCUAUGGUUGCACUCCUUCAGACUUUUUGCCUCUCACNUAUAUUCCUUGUAACGGAACUACUUCUGGGGAAACCGUUUAUUCUCAGUUUGGAUCAUUUUCUCCCGUGUCUUGCAAAACAAGUGUGGUUGUUCCGGUUCCUCUUUCAUUUCAGGAGAUUAAUAAUUUCUUCCAAGUAUACCGGNCAAUCAAAGAAGGGUUUGUGGUGAGAUGGAUAAUAGGUGUUGAAGAAUGUGACAAGUGCGAAAACUCAGGUGGAGAAUGCGGUUUUGAAGGUUCUUCACAGCAAACUUGUUACUGCAGAGAUGGACCUUGUCCUAAUUUCUCACAAGAUAGCGAAGCAUCUUCAGGUACGCCUAUGUUUAUUCAAAAUUAAAUUUUUCUGCUUUUUGUUUGACGAUUUGCCAUGCAUGUGUCUCUUUUCCUUAACCAACAUAUUUCAAAGCAGUUCCUCUUAAAAAAAAUCUGUGAAACGCACAAAUGAUUUAUUGAAUAAUUUAUUAUAAUUAUUUAAUCUUGGUACUCUUUAAAUAAAUAUGAAUAAAACUUUAAAUCAAAUAUAAAUAAUAAAAACUAAAAAUAGAAUAUAAUUGACUUAAAAUAAAAAUAACUACACUUAAUUUAUCUUUAUCUUAUAUCAACAAAAUAAAAUAUUACACCUAAAUAAAAAUCAAAAUUAUCUAUUCUUAUUUUAUUUUUUUUAAAAUUAAAUUAAAUAUUACUAUAUCCAAACUAAUAAAAUAAAAUAAGAUUCAAACAAAAUUAUUAACAAAUCUUUAAAAUUUAAGUUUAUGUCAACGUAACUCUACAAUAAACUUAAAUUUUUUAUUCUUUGUUUGACUUUUCAUGUGUAUCAUUACAUAGAAUUUCUUUCUUUCAAUUAGAUUUGAAUUAUUUUUUCUUAUGAUCUUCCUUUCUUUUAUCUUAAAAAAACUCUCUAAUGUUUUGAUUGACUUUUCCUUGACAUUUUUUGAUUUGUUCUUUGAUUUGUUUCUCUUCUCAAUAACCUUGUUGCCACCAUGGUCUAUUGCGAUAGGAGCUAUGUCACAAUGAUGGUAGUUCUUCAUGUUGAAAUUCUUCACUUUUUAUUGAGAGAUCCAUUUUAGUUUCUGUACACAUUGUAUCUCAUCAUCUUUUUCUUUAAGUUUCUUAUCCAGAUUCGCCACCCUCAUCAUCUAAGACUUUUGAAAUUUCUAUCGAGCUUUUUAUAGUUGUCAAGUUAACCCAUUUGAUAGGAUUUAGUCCUCGUAGGAGUAAAAAAAACCAUAAAAUCAAAAAGAUCAUUUACUAAAAAAACUCGUAAAGAAAACCGAGGUUUUUAUGUUACAGAAACAGAGAGAAACAAAUUUUUUGUUAAAAAAAACAUAUACAAAAACAUAAAAGAAACAGAGAAUUCUGCAGUGUUUGUCACCUGCAUAAUUAUAAACUGGCAGGGCCAAACUGCCAACCAAGGUCUCUAUGAUCCUUUCAAAUUCAUAGGUGCCCAAUGUUUUGAGGUGUCGUACAUGCUCCGUUGGGACCGAUGGAGUAGACCAAUCAGGCGUUGUUAUCUCUUCAUCUCAAUGUCUUCACCCUCAUACUCCCAUGAUAACCAAAACACUUUAAUAAUCAAGGACACAACAUGAUGGUUCAACAUUCAAUACUAUAGUUUAAGUACUUACUAUUAAGCAUGCAAUUAACUUCACACAGAAGAAUAUCAAUCAUAAAACCACUACAAUAGAAGGAAAAAGACGUCUCAACCAAUUUAAUAUCAAUUAAACUGCAUCAUGAUUUUAAAGUCAAGCAAAAUAGGUACACUAGAGUCUAACCUAUUAGGUAUAAGCUUGAUAUAGACUUAAAAAAUGGUGAUUUUUUUAAAGGACAUUAUCUCCCACUCAUAUUCUGAGAGAACAAAGUAUAUAUCAAUAAAAAAUGAACUCAUGCAUACUAUUCCAAGAGAAAAAAAAAUAAUUGAACCAAUUGCAAAAAAACAAGAAAAGUAAGCUAGAGACACCUUUCUUAGCAUCCUUUUUGCAAGUAUGUGAUAAUGACGCUGCCAUAACAGCAAACAAAACAAAAUGAACUUUAGUCACUACAAUUGACGAUCACAAACUUUCUGCUAACAUAUACUUCAAAUAUAACACUAGCAGACUUUCUAAAUUGAUCAUGUCCAAAGAUGUAUAAAUAUAAGAACUAUGUAUUUUAACAGUGUCAAGAAAAGAAAAUAUAUUGUGCUUCAAGUAAUUUUUAUUAUAACUCUCCAGUAUUAUGUUAGAAACUGGCAGUGUGUGAGUGAAUACCAAACUGCCUCACUAUACACUAAAAAUAAGUAUGCAACAUUAGUCUUGACAAUCUAUAAUACUGUAUAAGGAAGGAAUGUUUUAGCCUGACUUAAACCAAAAAGAUGUUAUCUCCAAUUUCAACUUUUUACAUAAAAGUGGAACUUUAAUAAAUUGAUUUUGUUUUUCUGUAAAAAUAAUGUAGAUUUAACAUCAUAAUUCAUAAAAUUGAGGUGUUUGUCAUAGUUAUCUGACAAGCAGAUAAAGGAACUAUAUCAUGGUUAAUCACUAUGAAGAUUUUAACCAAAAAUAUAUUAGUAAAUUGACUCAUAUUAGGAGACCUGGGCUUCAGAGGACCAAAACAUUUUUACAAAACAGGAAGAGCCAAGAGCUUCAUGAAACAAGACUAAAUCCAUUUGAACCAAAUAUAGAUAGAAAUUUGAUAGAGAUCUCACAAUUAACCAGAAAUUGGAACAAAUCCCAAAGUCAAUUAGGUGAAUGAAAACAAAAACUGUAGAAAAUAAGCCCGGAAGGUGAAAACAGAGUGAAUACAAUUUCCCAUGGUUUUAAACAAUGGUAAAAUCCACAAUUUCAGUGGAAAUUGCAGUCGCAAUGUAAAAAAAGGAUGAAGAAAUUUCGUCUAUAACAGCCAUAUAGAGCCAUGCAAUUCGUAAACAGACAGCUAUAAGCAUGAAUUCAGCUACUUGAAAAUUUCAAAUCCACUUAGCAGGUAUCUUAUUUCUUUUGUUAAUCAAAAGAAGUAAAUACAAACUUAUGUUAAUCAUUUCUUAAAAAGAAAUUAUCUGUUUCUUUAGAAAAAGUAGAAAAUAAUUUGCUUUUAAAAUAAGUAAUUUAGAGAAACAAAUAAAAAGACAAAAAUCUGAUUAACAAUAAACUUAAACAAACUCACCCAAAUCAUAUGACACAACAAAAUAAAAUAAAGAGAAAUGACAAGCUGCAUAGAUUAUAUCCAAAAGCAAGAACAGAACAUGCAGAAGUGAAAUGGGUGACAGAAAGAAUAUAUUACCCUGGCGUUAGAGUAGAAGCCAGAACUGUACCGGUAGUGGACAUGGCUAUGUCUACCUUCUCUGUCUUUUUCGUCCUACACAAAAAGAAAAGAUUUUCACAAUGCUAAAACACAAAGAAAGAACAUGUAAUCACUUUUUUGAUGAAUAUCAAAAAGAAAGAAAGAAUAUCAGCUUUUCGUUCGGUUCAUUCUCUCUUUAACUGCUAUUUUCUCCUCCUCUCUUGAUUCCCUUUCGUCACCUAUUUUCACUGUGUUUGGUUCCACAACAAACAAGCAUCUCAGAUGUAAUUUUUAAGAAGCUAAAAGUUAUAUAGUGUAUUUGAUUUGGUAUCAGAAAACUUGGUGAAUAUACAAAGCACGAUGAAAUUACCAUAAAAGCAAAUACUUACUACUUUAAAAAAUCAUGGUGAGUUCAAACUCACCUUGUAACCAAACAUGAAAAUAGUUUCCAUGUCUCAAGUGUGAUUCCUUACUUUUUAAUUGAUUGUUAACAAUUAUCAGGGGUUGAACUAGAACUCAUUUCGAAAAUUGAUUCUGUAAAAUUGAUUUUAAAACAAAGAACAUUGUAUUUACGUGUUGACAUCUAAAGCAGUAAAUAGUAAAAAAACCAACACAAAAACUUUACAAUUAAUUAUGACUUUGUAAAACAUAUUCAAAUCUAUAAAUAAUUACUUAAAUUAUUUAGCUAGUAUUUUAAAGUGAUUUUAGAUAUCUGAGAUGAAUCAGGUGCCACUAAAGUGUGUAAAACUCUCAAUUUUCAUUCUUUUUUGGUGAAAAGUCUGGCUAUGCGUCUUUUCCUGCAACUUAAUUCGCAUUUAUAGUUACAGGAUUCCACUGUUCACCGAAUCGCUUAAGAGAGAAAUUGAGGCUUUAUUAGCUUUCCGUGUUGACUACCUUUCCUUUUCAUCCCUCUGAUCCUUUGUUUUGACAUCUUAUUUGUUUUGGAAUAUUGCAGGUAAACGCAAGAACGUAGAUGUAGCAAUAGGUAACUUUCAUUUUGUUAAUUUAAUAGUACAUACUUUAAGUGCUUCCUUUUUGUUUAUAGAAUUGUACUGAUGUCUACUAUUGGUACUGUUAUCAGGCGCUACUGUAGGAGGAGUUGCAGCCCUUGUUGUCAUUCUUGGAUGUGUGUGCUUUAUUGCAAGGAGUGUGGAGAUAUUCAUAGUUCCAACUUCAAGUGGAGACACUUUUGCAUCAACUACUAUCACGUCUCAAAUUCUAUCUUCUUACCAAUCUUCCAAGCCUGAUCCAGUAGCCAGGACUUUCUUUGGUAUCCAGGUCUUUACCUGUGAGGAACUGGAGGAAGCUACCAAAAACUUUGAUGCUUCUAGAGAACUUGGUAAGGGAGGUUUUGGCACUGUUUACAAAGGUAACAAAAUAACUUACAUGUCCACGAUGCACAAAUACAAUUCAUCUGUCACAUACCAUAUGUUUAUGAUACAAUGAUAUAAUUAUUCUAAAGAUGUAUAGAAUAUGAUACCGGGAAAGAUAUCUGUUUUUCUUUAACAAUCUCAUAUUUGUUAAACAGGUGAACUCAAAGAUGGACGUACGGUUGCAGUGAAACGCCAUGAUGAAAGCAACUCUAAGCGUAUUAUGCAGUUCAUGAAUGAGGUUCAGAUUCUAGGCCGCUUAAGGCACAAGAACCUUGUGACACUCUUUGGAUGCACCUCUAAACAUAGCAGAGAACUUCUCCUUGUCUACGAAUUCAUACCUAAUGGAACAGUGGCUUAUCAUCUUCAAGGAAGAGGCUCAAAAUCAACUUUACUCCCUUGGCCUAUAAGAUUGAACAUUGCUGUUGAAACGGCUGAGGCUCUA